rnacentral:rRNA from 1 species
AACGAACGCUGGCGGCAUGCCUAACACAUGCAAGUCGAACGAGACCUUCGGGUCUAGUGGCGCACGGGUGCGUAACACGUGGGAAUUUGCCUCGGGGUAUGGAAUAACUCAGGGAAACUUGAGCUAAUACCAUAUAAUGUCUUCGGACCAAAGAUUUAUCGCCCUGAGAUAAGCCCGCGUAGGAUUAGCUAGUUGGUGAGGUAAAGGCUCACCAAGGCGACGAUCCUUAGCUGGUCUGAGAGGAUGAUCAGCCACACUGGGACUGAGACACGGCCCAGACUCCUACGGGAGGCAGCAGUGGGGAAUAUUGGACAAUGGGCGGAAAGCCUGAUCCAGCAAUGCCGCGUGAGUGAUGAAGGCC